rnacentral:lncRNA from 1 species
AGGACGAUAUUGAUGAUGAAAUAUCUUACAAAGAUCAUUUAGAGGUUUAUUUUGAACAACUGACAAUUCCAGGAAUGAUGGAAUAAAACAUAUGAAGUAGAAGGACUGGAACCUCCAGAAAAAAUACUUCAAGUUACCUACAAGUGAUCUUAGUCAGGUAUGAAUUGAUAAGAAAUGCUUGCACUUUCCCUCCUUCCUAUCUUUCCCUUGCCUACAGAAAAUUAAAAGGCAAAACAAUGGACAUUUAUAUAUUCUUCAUUCAGAUUAACCAGUGGCUAGCAUGUGCCACCUUUGCAUUUUCUUUCUCUUUGCGUAAGUACGUUCUUCUCUGAAUCAUUUGAAAGUAACUUGCAGAGAGCAUGAUGUUUUACCCCAGCACUUCAGCAUUUAUCUCUUGUGAAUAAUGACAUAUUUCUACAUAAUUGCAAUUGUACCAUCUAACUAUAAUACAGCAAUUUGAUGUACAGCCCAUAUUCAGAUUUACCAAAUUAUCUCCAAAAUAUU